rnacentral:lncRNA from 1 species
GAGGUGGAGCCUAGCAUAUCUGGCCCAAAGAGGUAUGGUCUUGACUCUGUCCUGAUUGGACAACAGUACUGCAGCUCUGCUUGUUAGGAAGUAAUACUGGGUCUUACUGUAUUUAUCAACUUGUAGGCCUCAUGACCGUGUCCCGUUGAAGGAUAUGAAAUCAGAUUGGCAUGCUUGCCUAGACAACAAAGUUGGGUUCAAGGUAACUUCUUGGUUUUCUACCAUAUAUUAUGCAUAACAGUGCUUUAUCUGAAUUACUAAUCAAACAAAUAUACCUACAAAAUUCCAGGGUUUUGCAGUGCCUAAGGAGCAGCAGGGUAAAGUUGUCAAAUUUGACUUCCAUGGGCAGCCAGCGGAACUUAAGCAUGGUAGUGUUGUUAUAGCAGCAAUAACUAGCUGCACAAACACCUCAAAUCCUAGCGUUAUGCUUGGUGCUGGCCUUGUAGCUAAGAAAGCCUGCGAGUUGGGUCUCGAGGUUUGUUCUUUUGUAACCUAAUCACAUGCUGUUAUACUUGAUGCUUCGCUUCACUCUGCUGAUGUGAAAUGACUCUUUCUUAGGUGAAACCAUGGGUGAAGACUAGCCUUGCCCCUGGAUCAGGAGUUGUCACGAAGUACUUGCUUCAGAGGUAUCUUAUCAUCGUUUAAUAAAGAAUAGUGAAACAUAGAAUUUUGGUGCAUAUCAAAUUGCAUCUUUGAGUGGAAUCUUGUGAUUUCUUCUUACAGUGGUCUUCAAGAAUACUUGAACCAGCAAGGAUUCCAUAUCGUUGGUUAUGGAUGUACCACUUGCAUUGGAAACUCUGGUGAUCUUGAUGAGUCUGUAUCAGCUGCUAUUUCAGAAAAUGGUAAUUUAAAGUUUGUGAACAUUCCCUAUUUAGUUGCGGUGAAUUUCAGAGGGAUCUGUCUGAUUGACUUAUGCUUAUCUUUUUGGAUAGAUGUUGUCGCUGCUGCUGUUUUGUCGGGCAACCGGAACUUCGAGGGUCGUGUGCACCCUCUGACUCGGGCUAACUACCUUGCUUCGCCACCUCUUGUUGUUGCUUAUGCACUUGCUGGCACUGUAAGUCCUUGUUUUUUUUUCGUAUUAAUGGUUACCAUCACAUGACCUAUAUCUGUGCUUUUAGUUGCAGGGAAUUGAUUAACAUUGUAAGUUGUAUUUUUCAGGUUGACAUUGAUUUUGAGAAAGAGCCCAUUGGAAUUGGAAAAGAUGGCAAGGAGGUCUACUUCAGGGAUAUAUGGCCCUCAACUGAAGAAGUUGCACAGGUAUAUGCUGUACUGAAUUCAGAAUUUCAGAGUAGUUGGCUUUGGCUUCAGUUAUUUGUACAGAGUUGUUGCUAUUGUAUCUGUAGUUCUAUACUUAUGUUGGAGAUAUUUCUGACCACUUAUUUUGUGGCAAUAAUUGUUAUUAAAAUGAUACCCAACAGGUCGUCCAAUCCAGUGUGCUGCCUGACAUGUUCAAGGGCACCUACGAGGCUAUCACGAAAGGGAACCCAAUGUGGAACCAGCUUACUGUCCCAGAAGCAUCACUCUAUUCAUGGGAUCCGAAAUCCACUUACAUUCAUGAUCCCCCGUACUUUAAGGACAUGACCAUGUCCCCACCUGGUCCCCAUGCAGUGAAGGACGCCUACUGCUUACUGAACUUCGGGGACAGCAUUACAACAGAUCACAUUUCACCUGCCGGAAGCAUACACAAAGACAGUCCUGCUGCCAAGUAUUUGAUGGAGCGUGGUGUGGACAGGAAGGACUUCAACUCAUAUGGUAGCCGUCGUGGUAACGAUGAAGUAAUGGCGAGAGGAACAUUUGCAAACAUUAGGAUUGUGAACAAGUUUUUGAACGGAGAAGUUGGACCCAAGACCAUUCACGUUCCUACUGGGGAAAAGCUUUCUGUUUUUGAUGCAGCCAUGGUAUGAUGAAACUACUGUGAAGUCUAUCUCUUCAUUUCUCUCCAUAUUAUCUCCUGAUGCCCGUGGCCCCUUUUGCAGAGAUACAAAUCUGAGGGCCAUGCCACCAUAAUUCUUGCUGGCGCCGAGUACGGAAGUGGCAGUUCUCGUGAUUGGGCUGCCAAGGGACCGAUGCUCCUGGCGAGUUCCUCUACUCAGAUUUUUUUUGUCCUCAUUUGAAUUAUGUCUGGGAAACCAUAGUAUUGACAGAUCUGGUAUUUGUUUCAGGGAGUUAAAGCUGUGAUUUCCAAGAGCUUUGAGCGUAUCCACAGAAGCAAUUUGGUGGGGAUGGGAAUCAUUCCUCUCUGCUUCAAAGCUGGUGAGGAUGCUGAUUCUCUUGGGCUUACUGGACACGAGCGGUACAGCAUCGACCUCCCUACCAACCUCAGCGAGAUCCGCCCUGGCCAGGACGUGACUGUCAGAACCGACAACGGGAAAUCCUUCACUUGCACCCUUCGCUUUGACACUGAGGUACAUGCAAUUCAGAAGAUAUCUUUUUAUCUUCCCAUCAGGCAUGCUAUUUUGUAUCGUGUCAUAGCUUAGUGCUUCUCAAUUGGUUUGCAUGGUACUCAAUCGCAUUCUUGGUCGUGUUGCAGGUGGAACUGGCAUACUUCAACCAUGGAGGCAUCCUCCCCUACGUCAUCCGCAACUUGGCACAGAACUAAGGCAGAUCACACCGUUUCACCCGCGACAAUGGGCGGCAGGCUUGUCUUCCCCAGGGUGUACAGCCUAGCUCGAUGUAGAGAGUUUGCGAUGGAUCUCAGGGCCUUUGUCGAUUCAGUCAUACAAAUAAACUGUGAAAUAAAAUCCGCAGGGGGCGGGAACCACCAGCUGGUGUGAGCGCUGGUUGAGGAACAGUUUUGCCUGCUGUUUGGUUAUGAUGAAACGUGCUGUGGAAUAGACUGUUCUAAUAUUCGUGUUUCAUAGACGUGUAGGGCGCGGUGUAAAUGAUUUCGGUGCUAAUACUUCGGUUGCGCUACAUUGAUUAUGCUCUAUAGUCUAUACCGCAAAUGUUCCAUGGUUUCUUUGGAUCUUGUUUUUACUGUUGGUCCAGGUAGUCUUUUUGGACAAUUGCGGUUUCGUCUGGCUUGACGAGGGGGCUGAGAAUUUGACUGGAUUCCGAGCCAGGACUACACUAACCAAGUCUACAGACGGACUCUGUCACCUCUAGCAGGUGCUCACACGUAUGCACUGCACUAAUCCUGUAUACAUGAGUGAGAGACCGGAGUAGGCCAGAAUAAUGAGAUACAAGGCGUCAUGGUGGAUCUCUCUGACCAUCCGAGAUAUUGCUUGCUGCUUGUUUCCUCAUCUUGACUAUGUGAGACACAUUAGAUCCAAAUGCUCCUUGAACAGUUCCAUGCAGGUCAUCAUCUUCGUACUUUGAUUUAGCUUUCACUCACCUAUCCUAGCUUAUCACAAUAGUUUGCCGAGAUCGUGCCGAGCGAUGUGAAGGAAGAUACUAUCUCGGUCAAAGGCCAUACGCGUCUUGCGCUAUCCAUUUCAUUAUACUAGAGCCUGUGGCGCGCCUCCGGCUCCCCACUCCUCCGUUCCAGUUUUGAGCAAAUAGACAUACUGAACUUUGAUCCUCUGUAGUAUUUCAUUGCAUGACAAUUAACUUUAAGUCACAAGGACUGAAGCUGAUUUCUAAAGCCGGUCUCUAUAGGAGUUUCAUAGAGAGUUUCAUCAGCAUUAAUUUCUAUAUCACAUUAGCAAUUUUGCUGACUUGCAAGGUCUUUACGAGGAGAGAUGAUGGAGUUUCAUGAAAUGAGAGAUGGGUUUCAUCCCCAUUAAACCUAGCAAGGUACAGUUACAAGUUUGCAGUUUUAAUAACAGUGCAAUGAAACUGUGCAUUGAGACUGGCCUAAUCUCUAAAUCUAAUGGCACAAAUAGCAAGAUGGAGUAUUAAAUAGUGAAACCUAAUGUACCUUCAAUUUAUUUUAGUAAAGCAAAAUCUUGUGAAAAGAACAAAAAACUCCAUAUAUGUAUUUCACAGCUAAAAUGGGACUCACAGCAGUUAACAUUACCCACUUUAAGUUUCAAUCAUCAAAAAGCACACGGGCAUGAGUAUAAUUCAAAAUCAUUGGUAGUUUGAUGCAAAACAAGAGUAAAUUUCCUUAUCCACUUCAGUCAAAUCGAUCUAACGUGAGUACUCCCUCCGUAACACUCUAUCUUGUAUAAGUUUUGUAUCUAGAAAAGCUAAAAUGAAUAAUAAUUUGGAAUGGAGGGAGUAUAAAAUUACUGAGACAAGCAAACAAAUGAAACUGUGGUUACAAUUGACCUACAAUUAAUGGCAACGAAGUUCAGAAUUAUUUACCUAAGCAUCAGUGUAGUAACAGAGUUACACUUAUUUUACCUAAAAAGGAACCAAUAAUAGAUAUUGUUGUGGACAACAAAAAAACAUGUCUAAAUUUACCAGAAUCCGUCUAAUCAUCUGAAUGUAUGGCUGUUUCUUUUUGACAAAUCAGCAAACAAAUGCAUGUACAUAACAUCAUUGGUGUAAGAACCAAAUUACAUUCGUUAAUCUAAAAUAUAGUGCCAAUUUUAUGACAAUGACCAAAGCUUUGUCUCCACUAACAACAGCUGCCAAAGCCACUGGACAGGCAAUGCAUUUCUCACCGCAGGAUCAACACACCCAAAAGGCAGUUCACUCGACCUCUCUCCAUACAGCUUAAUGAAUGCCUUCUACGUUACCAUCAGCUACACAUUUCCAGCCAAGGGGUAAAAGAAUGUUUUGCGAAGGCUACGAGGAUCACGAGCACCUCUUUAAGGAUUACGUCAUGCGAGGGGCAUUUGGUCAGCAACUGGGUACGUGCAGGUUCAACAGCUCGGACAGCUCGGCGACAUCUGGGAUGUCAGUUUCUUCGAUGCUAAUCUACAUGCUCCUCAGCUCAGAACCCUGAUCGUCGCCUUCUUAACUUCUUAUAGAACAUUUGGAAGGACAUAAAUGACAUGGUCUUUAAUGCCGCUCACAGGUCACCAGCGCAGGUGUUACACUCCAUCGACAUAUGGGCAGAUCGCAUCCGCAAGCCAGUAGCUAGAACUUUUUCUCAUUCUUGUAGUGCAGGACUACGGGAUGUAGCAUAUAGCUAGCUGUGUAUACUCUACUCUCCACCCUAACCUCACAAUGCACUGAACGCUUUACCUGCGUUCUACAUCCGUUCAAUGAAAGUUCAGGCGAGCAAUUGCUUGUCGUAUAAAAACAGAAUGUUCAGCUGCAGCUCACUUGAACCAACAGCCAUUUAAGUGAAUGAGUUCGAAGCCUCAGAAAGCCGACACACAACAAAUGAUCUAUUCGGUAUUCCUUUUUCUGUAUCAACGAAAGCAAUACCAUCAGUGAACAAUGAAGCAUAGCACACAUAAAAACAAAGUUUCAGAAACUCUGCAGUGUACGCGUGCCUAAUCAUAGCAGUCCAAGGCACGUCAUCUCGCCUCGGCAUUGCAUCAAACAGCAUACACGUGGUGCCGAUGUCGCCAACCCCGGCAUCCCUAACAGGGUGCCUUUUGUUCUUUACAACCAACUGACAGAAAAAUUUCUGCAUAUAUAGCUAAGACUAAGGGUUCUUUAAAACCUCAAUUUCCCUUCCAACAAUCACAUGCAUUAGUGUUGCAAAAGGGAUGGGAGUCUUGCAUCAGAAUGUGCAAAUAGACUCUUAAAAACUCCUGGAAUACCAGUAAAAUUGUUAAACAGAUAAAUUCUCCAGUUCACACGGAUCAAACAUGGUGGAGCAAACAUAAAUAUAUAGUUGUAAUGCUGGGUAUCCCCAAAAAAUGAUUGGAGAAAUAUAAUUGCUCCGGUAGUAUUGACAACUAACUUACCACCUGGCCUCCAUCAUUUAUAGACAUAGCCUUGACACGGUAGUGACAACAACAAGAAGCUAACAAUAUCAAAUCAACACAGUUCAAUUUUCAUAGGUGCUUGCUUUAGCAUGGACAUUAAGUGUAAAUAUAUUUCUAUAUGCUGUAUAUCAUAAACUAAAAGACAUGUUGUUACCUCCCUGACAGAGAAAGCCAGGCAUCAUAAGGUAUACCUCUACGGUAUGCCAUUGUAUUUCACGGUGUAGCUGAAAAUUGGUAUUCCCAUUGUGAGUUGUUUCUUUAGUAGUCACUAAAAUGAGGCCUGCAAAAAUGGAAGAUUGUUACUCGCCAGGGGAAGAUCAUAUUGGUUAGGACCUACGAAGAAUGUCUUCACAAAGAACAAAAGAUACUCCACAUAUAUGAAUCAUGGGCCUCCGUAACAUGUAUUGAAAUGUCACUUAAUUUGACAUCAAAGCUGCAUGCACUUCCAAAUUUUAGUUUGAAAUAGUUCUUGUGUACCUAAAGUCAGUUGAUUUGGGUCUCAUCCUUGUGAACCCAUGCAUCUUCCACUGUUCGAAGUUCUUGGUCAGGGUAUGUCACAUGCCGAAGAGCUUUUGGGCCUUCCUGUCAUCAUUAUUAUUCUUGGUACUCAUGAGGAUUCAGUAGACUGAGAUGGUAGAACAAAGGUAGGCAUAAUAACCUAGGUGUAGGAACUACUGCUAAAUUGUGAGCUUGGGCAUAAACAUUUUGCUAAAAUGCGAGUUAGACAUUGGACGAUUGCAUGACAUAAUCAUAAUGGUAUACUGAGUAUUUAACAUUAAAUAUUUUGCAAAUGUUUAGUAGUUGCUAGUUGCCACCAUACAUGCAUGAUUGAAUGGUUCACUACCACAUAAUUAUGGUAGCAAGUACAUACACUGAUUUCUAUCUAAUGAUCUCAGUUCUUAGAAGUAUUUCAAACUAAAAAUUGAUCCAUAGAGACUUCAAAUAGUGGUGCUAGCAGUUGUCCAGAAAAGCACAUUAUAUGAGCACUAAGGAACUAUAAGUAACCUGGGUAAGUGAGAGAACUCAUUGUGCCAUGUCUAAUUAAAAUUCCCAGUGGCGCCGAAAAGGUAAAUAAUUAUACUUAUACUAAACCAAGAAAAUAAUAUAAUUCUUGUGGGAGCAAUUGUUCUAUGUAGUUCGGUACCUCCUACUUAUUAUAUUGAAAAGGGCGAGUACAAAGCUAACUGAUUGAACAAAACAUUUACCAUACUUCUGGUUGAAAUUUGACCUGGGGAUCUCGGUCUGGAUGGAUCAAUCUCUGAAGAUUUUUUUCCUUCACAUUUACCAGCAAUUGAAAUAGAAUAACAACUGGUUUCAGUCUUGUUAAUCAACUUGUCGAUUAUACUUGUCAGAUUGAAUAUGUUGCCCCAAUAUGCAAUAUGGAUACAGAAACACCAAAGCACAUGCUCUGUGUAGUAAAAUUGUUGCCUAAAAAAGGUAGUGUUAGCGCAUGCUUUGCUGAAUAGAACUGGGCAGGAAACAUCAACAUCAUUUAACCUUGAAUAACACAGCAAAAAUAAUACAAUCCCCUUUCAGACAUUUCAUUGAGCAUAUUGUGAGCAGCAGGCCAGCAGCCGUUGGAGGGAGAGAAUGCAGAACUUACAGCUUGCACAUGCCUUGGCAGCCUGGAGAUGAGAAAAGCAACAGCCAUGAUCUGUUGCCGUGGAAGGGGUGCAGCUUGCCGCUGCGCGACAGACGCAGCAACGGAAGAAACGGAGCUGGGCUGGUCACCAGGCGAGAGUCGCACUGGGAUAAAGUGUUGGGUGGAGGUGGUGGUGCCCAGACGUCAAAGAGAAAGAGGUGAGCAUGUGGGGGACGGGCGGAAGCAGGGCGGCUGAGGCGCCCGAGGAUGCGCGGGGAGCCGGUGGGCGGCGCUCCUGUUCCGACGAGGGGAGCGGUCAGACUUUUUCGUUUUUUAACUCUUUUUGCGAAAGAUUCUCACACAAAUAGGCUCCUGGCGGAACCAAUUCCAAAAAUGGACCCUUAGCUUGGCGCCAUCCACGCUGGCGCCAAGCUACAACGUCUCGGCGCCAGCCAUCCUGGCGCCAAGGUCUUUGCGCAGCUGCUGACGCGGAUGCCGACGUGGCGGGGGCUUGGCGCCAGCCAUGAUGGCGCCAAGCCUUGGCGUCAUGGAUCUUGGCGCCGAGCUAUCUACGCCGUACCUCUUCGCGUUUCGAACUAAAGAAGUAUAAUUAUUCCAACAUUGGGGUUUGAACUCGGGUAUCUAGGAUAAGGAACCCACCUCCUAACCAGUUGAACCACAGCUUAGUUUGUUGCACACUCCUCGGAAUAAUUAUACUUCUUUAGUUCGAAACGUGAAGAGGUACGGCGUAGAUAGCUCGGCGCCAAGAUCUACGGCGCCAAGCUUGGCGCCAAGAUCUAUGGCGCCAAGGCUUGGCGCCAAGCCCCCGUCACGUCGGCAUCCGCGUCAGCAGCUGCGCAAAGACCUUGGCGCCAGGAUGGCUGGCGCCGAGAUGUUGUAGCUUGGCGCCAGUGUGGAUGGCGCCAAGCUAAGGGUCCAUUUUUGAAAUUGGUUCCGCCAGGAGCCUAUUUGUGAGAAUCUUUCGUAAAAGGGCUAAAAAAACAAAAAAAAGUCGCGGGGAGCGGUCCCCGCUGUGGAAGCCGAUUCGGUCAGUUUUUGAGUUGGGCCCAAUUCACGCCAACAUUUUCAUAUGAAUUGGGCCCUAAGUGCAGGGCAGGAGGUGUUUUGUUGUUGUAUGUAGGCCGGCCGAGCCUCGUGUUUUGGGCCUGGCCCAAUAAGUCAGGGUUCCAGUUCGCCAGCCCGACGACCUUGGACCCGACACAUCCGAGCGAGACCCACCGCCACCGCCUUCUCCUCUCUCUUUCUCCUACCUCUCGCCCCCGUCUUGUCCCCGAGUCCCAAGCGCAAGAACAGCCAAGGAAUCGGCGGCGGCGGCGGCGGCGGCGAUGGUGUGCGCCAAGUGUAAGAUCCCCCUCCCUCCUCGCGGCCCUAGAUGUUUCUCCUACCGAAUUUGGCCGAUUCGUCUUUACCCUUGAGGUUCCGUGCUGGGAUCUGUUUUCUUUUUCCUCUGUUCUACCCUAAGAAGGGUUGGUGGGAUUUGGGUUGCAGGCGAGAAGAAGCUCGGGAAGGUGAUCGUGCCGGACAAGUGGAAGGAGGGCGCCAGCAAUACCAACGAGAGCGGCGGCCGCAAGAUCAACGAGAACAAGCUCCUCUCCAAGAAGAACAGGUCAACCUCCAUCCCUUCCUACCCCAAUCCCCCACCGAGCCAUCUCUCUACUACUAGUUCUUUGCGGUCAAGGUUGAGCUGAUGCUGUUUCCUGGGCUCCCAAUUUCGUUUAAUGGGGUAUCUCGAGCGGAUCAGGUAGGGCAGUGGUUUCGUUAAGAAAAGAGGCAAAUCACCAGAGUUAAUUGCUCCACUAGUCACAUCACAGGAGGGUAUACAGUAAUCAAUCAAUCAAACAAAUUGUUUGUUGGUUGGGCUUAAUGGACAUGCUGGUAGAAUUGAUUACUUGAGCUUUGAGGCACCUAACAGAUUUGAUUUUAGAAAAUUGGCGCACACCUCAUUUCCUCCUAAACUGAAUUAGACUGUAAAUUGAUGAUAUGUCAGCAGUACAAGCUAUUAUUAUUCACAGUUUGGGACAAGCGUCCUGCUGCAUGAUGAGCUAUUGACCUACAAUGUUGGUACCACAGUAGCCUAAUGCCCCCAAAAGUGCAUGCCUCUUAUUCUCUUCAUUGCAGGCCCUUAGUACAAGAUGGCCUUUCUUAACUGAAUAGAUAGUGAAGUAUUUGUUCAAAGUGUCACAGAUCUGGAUGACAACUUGAUACAUAUACCAUACAUAAUUCUAUAAAUGAUAAACUAUUUUAUUGGUUAUAUGGUGUUAUCAGAGAAACGGUUACACUGAGGGUUAUUUGGGUGAGCAUAGAAACAUGAAGACAUCAGCUGUCAAAUUAGUGAACCUUUCAUCACUAGUUGUGGGAAUUGACGGGGGAAGAGUAGAAAAGGCGAGGGGAAGGAAUAUGAGUUUUGAUUCUGUAAGGGACGAAAAGUUGAAAACAGUUGCUAAUUAUGGUUUCUCAUAUGGAUAUGGGACAGUAUGGCACCGAGAUUCAGGGGCGGAGGAAAGGGUAGGGCCACUAGGGCCAUGGCCCUAGGCGUCAGCCCAGUUUUUCCAUUAUGCAGUGCACUGUAGCCUGAAGGCCCAGCCCAGCAAGCGCAGUUGGCCCAUGGAGUGGCCCUAGGCGUUGAGCUCCACCCCUGCUGAGAUUUAAGAUUUUCAGUUUUUAUUUGGGCAUCUAUAACUCAAAAUUCAUGUUAUGGUUUGAUCCUUACCUUCAAGGAAGGUGCUAUUAAAUUUCCAUGGAAAUAUUCUAUGUCGCCAUUGGUUGGUCUAUAUUCUAUGUGUUUGCUCAGGAGUCAAGAUAUGUUGCUUCUAAAUCUGCAGCUUAAAGUCCUAACUGAGUUUUCUGUAUCCAUGGAUUCUUUAAUCUCUUUAGAUAGUUUUCUGAACAAGCCAUCUGUCUUUCUUGUCUCUAUUGAAAUUGCAUCAUGUUCUUUUUUCUAAGUUAUAAAUGUUCAAAUCAUAUCCGAUGAAGGUAUUAUUUUGUGAUUGUCGUCUAACUGUAUGAAUCACACAGGUGGACUCCCUAUGGAAACACCAAAUGUAUAAUAUGCAAGCAGCAGGUGCACCAGGAUGCAAAAUACUGCCACACCUGUGCUUAUUCGAAAGGUAAGAACUCCAUUAGAGUAUGACUUCACGAGAUGCUAUCUGAAAUAAGUUAAUUCCUGAUUCUGAUCAUAAUGCGGACUUUUCUUUCAGGAGUGUGUGCAAUGUGCGGGAAGCAAGUGCUGGACACGAAGCUCUACAAGCAAAGCAACGUGUGAUCCUAGAUGUACUAAACUGCUAAUAACUUGUAUGAAAUCUUGUACUUGCAAUCUAGCUGUUGAAAAAUAGUGAUGUGUGCUAUAACAGAAAAAAGUAUGUACUUGACUAACAAUUCUGGAACAUGAAACGUUUCCAAAAUUAAAGCUCCAGCAACUCGAGCUUGUGUCACCUUACAAGUCUGUUGUGGCUGGUUGCAAGCGAAAGCAAUCUGUGCUGUGGUUUUGGUUUCGCAAUUGGAACUAGCAUGCAUUUUUCCUUAUAUUAAAAUCUACAUGACCUCCAUGGCAGGAGUGUCUGCAAAGGUUUCCGUUCUCAAUAUCCUGCAUUUUAAAAUGAAAACGCAUUCUCAGAGGUGCUACAAUUUUUCACUGCCAAUGGUACAGUUUGUCUGAACAAUGCUUGUUUUCUGCUACAUUACUGGUACAGUUUGUCUGAACAAUGCUUCUUGUUUACCGCUACGGCGCUACAUUACGCAUAAAGACGACACUAUAACCUGUCAAAUGUACUGCCACAAUUAGACAGAUGCAUCAACUAUGGCCAGGUCAGCCUACAAGGCUACAGCUAGCUAUAUAGUUCUAUGAAAAAGAAGCACAGGAGACUAAGUUACAUUCUACAAUGCACAAAAUAAAUGAAGUAAAAUCCAAUGCUUGGAAUUUUAUUUCUGGACUCAGACUGCGGUUCUAACUUAGGUUUUCUGGUUGAGCACAUGACGGAGCUGAAUCUUCUGGCUUUCCAUCCGGGCUUCUAGAAGCUUCGCCUUGAGGCUUUGUCUCUGAACCAGCUCCAUGCAACCUCUGAAAUCGCGGUUAAGCUGGCUGUUCAUCGAGUCUGGUGAGCUCCACUGCGCUGUACUUGGGGUGCUGUCUCCCAUAUCCAAAUUCAAGCCUUUGGCAGUUGAGAACACACCAUUGGGAAGACUUGCACUCGAUGAUCUCCCAUUUGUCAUCUCUGCAGCAUCUUUCGUGCGGAAUUCACAAUGUUUCAGAGGGGAUGACUUCCAGAGCUUCGAUAUGGCGGACUCUUUCUUCUUGGGCUGUUUCAUGUCCGUCAGGUACAUGUUGCUCAAGUCAUCACACAGCCUGUUGGUCUGCCCACCCUCGGAAUCGUUUCCACUCGUCCAUGAAAUUCUGUCAAAGAUCUUGUUGACUGAAGGUUCGCUUCCAUACGGCGAGUGGCUUGAGCCCUGCAUCUCUUCAUGGCUCAUGGUCUCCCAGCUGCUGCCAUCUUCUGUCUCGCUCUCAUCAGAAUGGCUUCCAUCUGGGAACAAUUUGGCUCGAUUUUCCAGAAAUAUAUCAGCUGUCGGGGUAGCUUCUUGGAUUUCUGAUUCACAAAUAGCAAAGCUUUGCUUUGGGCAAGGUUCAGUCUCCUUUGUCUCUGUUUCGCCACUUGGGCGCAGCUCUUCAAAGAUGGACAAUAUAUCUUCUGAUGCUCGCGGUGGCUCAUAUGUGAAUUCAACCUCUUCGUUUCUCACUGCUCCAAUGGCCUGUACGAUAUUGCAUGCCGUUUCAACAACUGUGCUGUCUUCUUUGGAAGAGCUGAAAGUGGAAAUGAAAGCCUCUACAUCCUCUUGCAGUUUGCUCAACUGGUCGUAUUUGGCCUCCAGAGUGAGUUUGGCAUCGACAAGUUUCAUCUGCACUCGCUCCUCACGCCACACCUCAGCCAUCUGUAGCAAUUUCCUGUCCUCAUCCAGCUCACCCCGCAGUUUGACAGAAUCCUGCUUCAAGGCUUCAAUCUCUGACUUGUGUUCCUCUAUCUCCCUCACCAGCUUGUUGCACACCUCCUCUGUGAGUUCCCGUGUCUUCUGCUCGUUGUCAUACUCCUGCAGUAGCUGCUUCGCUGCCAUUUUGACCUCUUUCAACUCAUCAACAAGUUUGAAGUUAAUAGUCUCCAACUGCCUCCGGUUCUUUUUCUCAUGCUCAAGGUCUGCCUUCAUAUCUUCAAGAAUGGCUCGAACCUUCUUGUGCUCUCUGUUCCGCCAAGCUGCUUUCUCCUCAGCGAGUUUCUUGAACAAGUGAUCAAGUUGCUUCUUUGCUGAAACCCGCUCGGCUUCUAGCUUGCUCACCCUAUCCCUUGCCUGCUGAAGCUCCAUCUCAAGGUUAGCAACAUAACUUCCCCCGUGCUGUUCCUCAACGAGAUUUAGUUGGCUGGCAAUCACAUAAGCACCAUCUGGUUCAAUGCUCUUUAUGCUUAUAGGCUCCCAUUUAGUUGCAUCCUCCAUGCCAGAGGCAAGCCGAAGAUGUACCUGCACAGUUAAAUCCACUGAAUUAGCUCACAGCAUAGAGCGGAAACAGCAAUUUAGGUGCAAGUGAUUUCUAGCUUUACCUUGUGGAGCUCUCCACUAUGUGGCUCCAGAACCGAGUUGGGACUUGAAAUGUCAUCCUUAAGAUGACAGUGGUGACCGAGAGGAUCCUUCCUCAGAAGCUGAGCUUGUAGAUGUCUCGGUAUAUGCUGUCAUAAAAGUAAGUGAAACCAGCAAGUGAAUAAGUAAGAGCAACUGAUUGUCACAAAAGCAGAGGAAAAAUAAGCAUCGAUCAUUUCCAUCUCUUCCCAGCAGCAAGAAAUUACUAAAUGGCUAAAAAUUCAGACAGCUCCCCCAGAUUUAGCACCCAUUCUAGAAGUUACAGCCUAUAGUUACUUCUACAUAAUAACGAGGCAAAUAUCUGAAAGCCAAAGGGGAGAUGAAGAACGAAGAUGAAUCAUCUGCGUGAGUGCCUACAAAUCUGGGGCGAUUCUGCUCAGUAGAUCAUUCAGAUCCCAUCACCAGAUAUGACAAAUGACAGCGAAGAGUUCAGUGAAAUAGCAUACCAUCCUCCGAAACCAGGAUUUAUUGCUCAUGGAAUGAACGACAGCCGUAUCUCAAUCAGCAAGGUUAACUCACUCAAGUGGAAACAAAACUGAACACCAAGUUUACACCGAGCAUUACUUGGUAAAUUUUCGCAGCAGUGCCUCCAGUAAAUAGCCACCCACACACCACAAGCAGGCAGAGGUAGCCGGAGGAGACAAGCUGGUUGCUCCGACAUCAAGAACCCUAGCAAGGUACAGCCGUGCUCUGCGUAAUUGCACGGCACGCCGACGAUUGAAUGAGCCCGGAGUAGAUCACAUGAGGAGGAUUGAGUUGUGGGUGCGUCACAAGGAACGCGCCCAUGGCCUGACACAUAAAUGCCGCCUGGCGACACUGAAAUGGACGCGCUUGUUUUAUAUAAAAGAAAAGGGAACUCUGAGAGGGACGCCGCCAUUAAUGGGGAUCUGGGCUUCGAUCCGGCAUCGCCGUGCGACGCCGCAACGGCUAGUAACUGCUUGCCGCCACGAGCUGGAACGGGGGGCGGUAGAGGUGGUACGAAGGGUAGGCGAGUACGGCGGGGAGGGUGCCGCCGUCCGGCCGUCCUGGAUUCGCCUCCCCGUACGCUGAAUCCGGCAGCGUUCGAGCGGAAGCAGCUGAUUCGAGCUAAAAAUUCGAACUGAUUUUUUUCCCCUUCAAACGGUGGAGCGCGGGUCGGGGCUGGGGAGGAUGUUUACCUCGAGCCCGACACGGGUGGCGGCGGCGUUGUCUCGCUGGCCGGCGGCGGGUGCCUCCUCGGGUGGCCGCAGCCGCCACACCGCGGCGGCGAGCCGCCUGACAGAGGAGGGCGGGUCCCCGCGGGGCUUCUCCCCGCCGGCAUUGCCCUCCCCGCCCCGCGCGGCCCACCGGUGCUGCGGGGUCGCGGGCCCGGCGCCGCGGCGGGCAGCGGCACCGGCGGAGGCGGGUUGCGUGGCCUUGAGCGGGCGGCGUCGGCGGAGGCGGCGGGGUGCGCGGGGCAGCGGGGGCGGAGCUGAGGGGGCGGCGGCGGGGCGGGAGGCGGGCGGCAUUGGCGGUGGUAGGGUUCCAGCGGCUGGAAGGGAGGGGCGGGGUGGAGGCCGGAGGGGAGGGGGCGGGGAGUGAAGAGACGUUGGAGCGGAGAGCAAGAAGAGGGGUUGGAAGCGACAAGGGGAGAGAAUUAAGGGGCGUGGAAGGAAAGAGUCGUUUUUUUAGGGGGCCUGUAAGGAAGUUGGCAUUAAUGAGCAGCACGUGUCGUGGUAAAUGAUGUUGAUUGCAAGUACAAAUGUUUGGAGUAACUGUUUCAACCAGGUUAAAAUAGGCCAAUUGUAGUAUUCUGAUAUGUGUUUAGAAAAUAUGCAUUGUGAGAUGAAAAAAAGUUAUCAAUUGGAUAGAAAAUAUGCAUUAUGAGAUGAAAAAAAGUUAUCAAUUGGAUAGAAAAUAUGCAUUAUGAGAUGAAAAAAAGUUAUCAAUUGGAUUAUAUCUCUCCUUCAUCUUCGGCUAUGGCUAUAACUCAUACACUUCUUAAGGAUCCAUACCGCUAGUGGGAUCCUCGUAUUACCCUAUUUCUCCUAUGUCACCCUAACCCAUUCAUCAGCUAGCACAUACAUACCUUUCCAAUGGCGUCGUUGCUGCCCCUCGACUCGCCACUACCAUCGGAGCUACCGCCUCUCAUUGGUGAAGAUCUCCACCCAACCUAAGGCUGAAGCAAGCUAGCUCGUUGGAGUUGGGAGGGAAGAAUAGGUCCAUUAAUCGCGUGGGCAAUGAGCUCAGCGGCUUGAAAACACCUUACAUCACUAAGUGCAUCCCUAGGGGCGAAGCUAGCCCAGAAGAACACCCACCAGGGUCUUAUGUAGAAGAGGACGAUGUCAUUUUGAACAAUUAACUAGUAUAUACAGUUAUUUGCCACUGUUUUCUGCAAAAUUCGUCGAAGAUCAGCUUACCCCGGUAAGAAACCUGAGCUUUGCCCCAGUGCAUCCCCACUUUCCUUGAUUUAUGACGUGUCCUUUUAAGAGCUUUUUAAAACAUACCAAUUAGGAUUAGCCUUAGUCCACCACUGAUGAUAUGUCUGUAGGGUAUUGAAUUAUAUGCCUCCUUCAAAGUUUUACAGAUUCCUUUAAUUUACGAGUAAUACGAGUUAAUUAGCCUUAGACCUUUUUAAUUUCCAUCUCAGAUUAUAUAUUUCAACUUAUAAUCUAUAAUAUGGGGAAUGCCAGUUUAUUACCUUAUAAUAUAAUAAUCUGUUACGUAGAUUAUUAUGAUAUGAGGCCUAUUUGUUUCGGAUUUGUAAUCCGGAUUAUGUAAUUUGGAGAGGGAAACAAAAACGACCAUAAUUGUUGCAAAAUCACUAGAAGUCAGUUCAGCUGCACCAUCACGGCCACACACUAAUUUGUUGCUUAUUUGUACUUCCUUUUUAAACUUGGAAAGUAUCGCACGUACCGCCAUUGAUGUGUAUUAUUCCCGUACACCCAAGCCUCUUUUAACUUUUAACCCUCCGAUUGCUAGUUUUCACCACUUGAAAGCAUAGUUACAGCAGUAGUGGUCCCUUAAUAUUUUUGUUCGCGUGCACAAGUUGAUAUAUGAACUGAUAUAAAUUUGCACCACACAAAAUUGAUUUAUUCCCCUUCUGCUUGUUUACACAUGCAGAUAAGUAUUGAUAUUGACAGACCACAUCAAGCUUGAGGUUUGGAGCAUCUGAAAAACUUGAGAGAUCAGUUCAUAUGCACCUAGGGGUAUUACUGAACAAUUGGAACUUGGGACAGACCACAUCAAGCUUGAGGUUUGGAGCAUCUGAAAAACUUGAGAGAUCAGUUCAUAUGCACCUAGGGGUAUUACUGAACAAUUGGAACUUGGAACAUGCAGGAAUACACUGAAAGAUGCCAGUGGCUCAGGUGGUUGUUCAGACAUCAUUGCCAUCUACAGUCCAUCCAGGGAGGGCCAGGGACAUCCCAUGUUGCAAGAGGGAACAUUGGUCCAAGGAGUCUAACUGUAGUUUCAUCCUUAUUUUGGGGCUCCAAUGUAAUUUUGGAAGCUUCUGCAGUAUAAGGGGUUUGGUUCUUUAGUUCGGAUUAAAAUUAAUGUCACAUCGAAUAUUUGGAUAUUAAUUAGGAGGACUAAACAUGAGCUAAUUAUAAAAUUAAUUACAUAGAUGGAGGCUAAUUCACGAGAUGAAUCUAUUAAGCCUAAUUAAUCCAUCAUUAGCACAUGUUUACUGUAGCACCAUAUUGUCAAAUCAUGAACUAAUUAGGCUUAAUAGAUUUGUCUCGCAAAUUAGUCUCCAUCUGUACAAUUGGUUUUAUAAUUAGUCUAUGUUUAAUACUCCUGAUUAGUAUCUAAACAUUUGAUGUGACAAAAAUUUUAGGAGGUUCUAAAUAACCAAACACCCCCUAACUAUACCCCAUCAUGAUGUAAAGUAGGGGCUAGGCCCCUUCCAGGGCCAUAUUUCUUUGACACAAAGGCACUUGUGCAGAACAACUUGUGACUAGAAUGUCACUUCAUAUUAACAAAAAAAGAAUGCUACCUCCUUUCAAGAAGAUAAGAUUCAGCAUUCAGCAUUAUGUACCAGGAUGGAAUCUUGUUGAAGAUUACACACAGUAUACUAUGGCCCUGAUGUUCCUGAAUUAUUGAUCCAUUGUGGUUUUGCGCAUACAGCUCUGACUGGGGGGCUGGAGCACAUCUGGUCUGCAUAAAGAACAGCGUCAGCAGCUCAGGGCCUGCACCACUGAUCCUGAAGAUUCUAUAGAAUCGUGACUGGAGAGCAGAUAGCCAAGCACAUGGAGAUGAAAGCCUUGGAGACUAGCAGAAAUGUUUCGGGCAAUGGGUUCCUGAAAAGAAGGGGAGCGCUGUUACCAAGCAGACCUCGUAGUAUGGCGUGUCAUCUUGAAACGAAUUGCAACUGUGCGUUGUAUACGAAGUAGAAAUUCUUAAUCCAGAUGAUUGGAAAAUAAGGCGUGCAAGUGCAACCAUAAAGAUGGCUGUAAAAUUUUCCAAAAUACGUCUUGUGAAAAAUUAAAGAAAAGACUUUGCACAAGGACCUUGAAUCAUUUUUUUUUGAAGGAACCGGUAGGGGAGGCCCUUACCCCUAGUUUUUUUUAUAUAUAAAAGGAAUAUAUUUACAUGAUACAAAGCCCAAGGCUCAAGGAGAAGAAGGAGAGAAAACUAAAAAAAGACUACUCAACCAAAGAUUUAUCUUAUCCCUACCGAUGGUUUUGUCCUAAGGACAACCAUCUUUAAUUCCUCCAAAAAGCAGGAUCUCCAUCUGGCAAAAGAGAGGAAUCCACCAUAAAAAAUAAUAAUGUUCCUAGACACCACUAAGUCCAACACGCAACAAUAACAACUUCCCUAAAAAUGCAAGAACCAAAAUCUCCCAAGCUUGGAUGAUCAUAUCAACCGAUUGAAGGCUAAGAUCCCAGUGAAUGUCCAAAUAGAUCCAGCAGGCCUAACUGAACGGACAGUCAAAUAACAAGUGAAGGAUCGUCUCUUCCACGUUUUCUACACAAAGAACACAAUUAUGGCUGUCAAGAUGCAUGUGUUUUCUUCUGAGCAAGUUCCUGGUAUUAAGUCUAUCCCUGAGCAACAACCAAAAGAAAAACUUAUGCUUAUUUUAAGCUCUUAAUUUCCACAUCCAUUUGAUGAGUGGAGAGGCUGGAAGGGAUCCUCUGAGGCAUUUGUAAGCAUUCUUGCUGGUGAUGUUACUCGAUCCCCAAAUAUAUUUAUCAUUCAGCAUUAUGUAACUGGAUGGAAUCUUGUUGAAGAUUACACAGUAUUCUAUGGCCCUGAUGUUCCUGCAUUACUUAUCCAUUGUGGUUUUGCGCAUACAGCUCUGACUGGGGCACGUCUGGCCUGGAUAAAGAACAGCGUCAGCAGCCCAGGGCAGGGACUGCACCACUGAUCCUGAAGAUUCUACAGCCUUGGCGACAGACUGGUUUCGAGUGGUCAUUAAGAUCAAAUUGCCUUUCCCUUGCUGGUAAGAUCCCAAUAGAGCUACAAAGCCUGCUCCAUUCGUUGCUGUCCAUGAUGUCCCAUGUAUCAUCUAAAACUAGCGAGACUCUGCAGCCCUUCAGCUCAUCUUUAAGCAUCUCCUGAAGAAGAGUCAUAUCUGCACUGCCUCCUUGGUCCAUUCCUGUUAUGUACUCUAAUAUCUGUCUGGUAAUUCUCACAAUAUCAUAUUUCAGGGAGACACAUACCCAUAUCAUAGUAUCAAAACAGGCCUUAACUCUGGGAUCGCUGUGCAUGUAUUGUGCCAGUGCAGUCUUUGUUUUUGUACCUGUAAACUGUGGGGGAGUUCCCCACAGCAUUUCAUUGCUUAAAUAAAAGAGAGUUUUUAUGUACAAGAGUAUUUACAAUUACUGAAAACUAUCUAGCCAUUGUCUAACUAUUGGUCGUAGGUCGUCCUUCACACGAUGCAGCUGCAGGACGAUCUGGUCUUUGAACCUCACGGUCCAGAGACGUUAGUUUUGUUGAAUAACUUGUUGCACACAUGCAUAUUUCCCUUUGGUUCAGUAGUGCAUUUUCACGUUGUUUAGGUGAAUUGCAUAAUUAGCUAGGUGUUUAGAGGUCACGAGUUAGCCUGAGGCGUGCUUGGUUCACGUCGUGGCCGAGUCUUCCUUUUCUUUCGGAUCGCCACAGCAUCUGCGGCAUGCACGUAGCGGGCGUCGCGGGCAACAACACGCGUCGCGCACCGUUGGUGGUGUGGCGUGGGAUUCGGUCGUUAAGGCCAUGUAAUCCGGUGCAUAAAAACAAGUUUGUUUGGCAUCGAGGCUGCAACGUUCUGCAGCGAAAUACUUCCUACUCUCUCUCACGUUGUGUUGGUGUUCAUCGUGUUCCUCGAGUUCUAGACGCGUUCGCGUUCCUGUGUGCGUGAUCCGAGCUGCAAACUGAGUUCAGCUCCAACAAGUUUACACUUUCCCCUUCAAAGAUCUUGCCAUUUCUAAGGUUCCAUAAUUCCCAUGCCGCUACGAUAAAGAUCUCCAUGAAGUAGGGUACAUGUGCCUCGAAGGGAUUCCACUAGUCUCGAUCUACCGGGCAGCAUCCAACACGAGGCUGGUGUUUCUCAGCUUCUCCUCAAGUGUGGUGACAUAGGGCUUGAUUGUUUGAGCUCAAACGUACUUAACAAUCUAGGGGAACGUGUGAGGCGUGAAAUUUCAAUGGCGAGUAAAAGGAAGUAAUUAACUAGUAUUUGAUAGUAUAGGAGAAAUUACUGUAAGAAUAUCCUCUCUUGUGUGCCGUAUAAAUGUAUGAUAACUGCGACGCAACCUGGGUAAGGUUCUGAUGUUGUCUCCUUGAAAAUUCAAAAGGCCAAACAUUGCAUGUAGGUCAUCUUUUAUGUACCGUUUGUAUUUUUUUUUACUUUGUACAAUAAUCUAUCAACGACAAGGAUGGACUAAUUCUAAACCUAACCGUGCUAACUACUCCCUCCAUUUCAAAUUAUAGGUCGUUUUGAUUUUUCUAGGUGUAUAGAUAUUAUUAUGCAUCUAGACUAUGCACUUAGAAAAGUCAAAACGACCUACAAUUUCGAACGGAGGGAGUAUUUGUCUAUUUAGCUACAUUAUCUCUUACAAAUGACCACCCCAACUUGAGCAAGAAUAAAGCACGCAUACGUAUAACUGAGAUUUGCAAAGCAUCAUUAUCUAGCAAAGAAAAUGACCCUUGAUUCCUUGGUAUCCGUACAAGUCUUACUGUUAUUUACAGAAGGCAUCUAAAUAUUGCAAAGAAAAAUUAAUACCUUUGCUUGCCUGUCAAACGGUAAUAGUGAUUGCCUGAGUGAGAUUUUACCCAGCCUUGCAGACAAAUUCGAAGGCUUUACUGCUUCUAAGUCUUACGAGGUCUUUAUAAAAAAUCACACUAUACUAUUGUGCUUACUUGCUUAUUGACUAAUUCAUGCCCUUCCCAUAUGUUUCGGGAAAUGUCCAAAUCACACAUGACCAUAAUCAUUGGAUAUUACUGUGAUUUGCAAACGCAUAUAUCUAAUUGAAAAAGAACCGUAUGUAAUUGCUCGCUGUUCGCCAAAUUAACGUGUGUAAUAACAAAGUUGCUUCUCACUGGAGAUCGAGGAGAUUACAAUCGAGAGGUAGAAGUGUAGAACGGAGGCCGCGACCUCCACAACGAUGACGAUGCUGAAGCCAGCCUACUCCACCCCUCACCCACUCGCCCUGCGAGAAGGUCCCGCUUGUGAGGAAAAUGGUCCUAGACCAUAAUAAUUUUGAUGAUUAAUGAUAACAUAAUCAUUAGGAGUAAUGUGUUUAUAAGAUAUACAUUUGUAUGUGUUUAUAUACGUUCCAAGGAUAAAUUACAAAAGUAUCAAAUGAGAAGAAAAAAAUACUUAGAAAAAUUCU